rnacentral:rRNA from 1 species
CGGAUUGUAGUCUGCAACUCGACUACAUGAAGCUGGAAUCGCUAGUAAUCGCGAAUCAGAAUGUCGCGGUGAAUACGUUCCCGGGUCUUGUACACACCGCCCGUCACACCAUGGGAGUCGGAUAUGCCCGAAGUCAGUGACCCAACCAUAUGGAGGGAGCUGCCGAAGGUGGAGCCGAUAACUGGGGUGAAGUCGUAACAAGGUAGC